rnacentral:sRNA from 1 species
UUCCUAAUGCCUUCCACAUAAUGCGGU